AUGGGAAGAGACCUUAUAAGGUCGCUGCGGGGAUGGGGGCCGGAAAUCUCCUCCCCAAUAUCCUUCGAUGCUCCUGGCCCUCCUUGAUGACGUAAUCAUCGCGAGGCGAAAGAUCUCGUUUUCCCUGACAGCUGACUUCCUCUGGCGCAAUUCAUCCAGAGGCGCUGGAGGGUUCUCGGGCCCAGAGGGCCUGCCAAAAAGGCAGUCAGACAGUUGGUUUAUGAGUCAUUCUGUCUCUGUCUCUCCUCUCUUUUUUUUUUUUGAGACGGAGUUUCGCUCUUGUUGCCCAGGCUGGAGUGCAGUGGCGCAAUCUCGGCUCACCGUAACCUCCGCCUCCCAGGUUCAAGCGAUUCUCCUGCCUCAGCCUCCCUAGUAGCUGGGAUUACAGGCAUGUGCCACCACGUCCGGCUAAUUUUGUAUUUUUCGUAGAGACGGGGUUUCUCCAUGUUGGUCAGGCUGGUCUCGAACUCCUGACCUCAGGUGGUCCGCCCUCCUCGGCCUCCCAAAGUGUUGGGAUUAUAGGCGGGAGCCACUGCGCCCGGCCCAUUCUGCCUCUCUUACUGCCAAGUAUCCUAGAGCCAUCUUCCGGCUGCAGGGAAUGUGAACUGAAGAGAAAGGUGUCCUCUCUUCUCAUAAAGAGACCCAAAGACGAAUGCCCCGCAGGUAAAACCAGUCACAUUUUGCCUUCCCUGUUGGCCCAUUUCCUCAACCAAACAAAUUAAUAGUUUCACCAUUUAUAAGAAAGUAAUGACAACCGAACCGUUUCUCAGGCUGUGCGAAUCGAACAGUGCGCGUUGGCGCUUUGCAUUAAUUAUAAUUAACAUUCUUUGAGCGCUUUCUCUGUGCCGGGAAUUAUGCCAAAGGCUUUUUAAACAUGAGCUCAUUCAGUUUCCAAAAUUCCUAUUAAGUACCUGCCUAAGAACUACAAUUCGGAGUUGCUGCCUAGUGAAGUUGAGGGGGUCGGUGGAGCCCCGCUGGGAGGCCAAGGGCUCAAUCUGUUGAGCCCUUCUAUGAUGCUACAUAUUUCAUCGUAUGACAAGGAGUGGCCAGAGGCAAUUCUUGAAUUCUGUGGGAGGUUGCAGUAUAUGACUAGGAAACAAAUGUAAUGACUGAGUUCUGCUUUCUAUGUAUGCAACUCACCCUAAAAACGUUUUGUAAGGUAGCUGGUUGAAGAUAUUUGGAAUGUCUAACAAGUUGGCUGACUAAUGUCAUGAAAACUGUACAAUUGUGUUGGAGCCAGUCUUUUUUUUUUUUUUUUUUCCUUGAGACGGAGUUUCGCUCUUUCAUUCAGGCUGGAGUGAAGUGGCGCGGUCUCGGCUCACUGCAACCUCCGCCCUCUGGGUUCAAACGAUUGAUUCUCCUGCCUCAGCCUCCCGAGUAGCUGGGAUUACAGGCGCCUGCCACCACGCUCGGCUAAUUUUUGUAUUUUUAGUAGAGAUGGGGUUUCACCAUGUUGUCCAGGCUGGUCCCAAACUCUUGACCUCAGGUGAUCCACUCGUUCUCCCAAAGUGCUAGGAUUACAGGCGUGAGCCACCGCGCCGGGCCUGGAACCAGUCUUAAGAAUGAUGUUAGGUGGCCAGUCAUGGCGGCUCAUGCCUGUAAUUACGGCACUUUGGGAGGCCGAGGUGGGCGGAUCACCUGAGGUUAGGAGUUCCAGCCCAGCCUGGUCAAAAUGGUGAAACCCCUUCUCUACUAAAAAUACAAAAAUUAGCUGGGCGUGGUGGCGCACGCCUGUAAUCCCAGCUCCUCGGGAGGCUGCGGGAGGAGAAUCGCUUGAACCCGGGAGGCAGAGGUUGCAUUUAGCCAAGAUCGCGCCACUACACUCCAGCCUGGGCAAGAAGAGCAAAACUCCAUAUCAAAAAAAAAAAAAAAAAGGAGGCCGGGUGCAGCGGCUCACGUCUGUAAUCCCGGCACUGUGGAAUGCCGAGGCGGGCGGAUCACGAGGUCAGGAGUUUGAGACCAGCCUGGGUAACACGAUGAAACCCCGCCUCUACAAAAAAAAAAAAAAAUUAGCCUGGUGUGGUGGUGCGCGCCUGUAGUCCCACCUACUCGGGAGGCUGAGGCAGGAAAAUCGCUUGAACCCGGGAAGCGGAGGUUGCAGAGAGCCAAGAUCGCACCACUGCACUCCAGCCUGGGCGACAGAGCGAGACUCCGUGUGAAAACAAACAAACAACAACAACAAAAAACCAAAACAAAACAUCUUUCAGAAAUAGUCCUGGCUUCUACAAGAUCCAAGGCACAGCUGAGUUUAGGUAGCCGGUGGAACCAAGAUCCACCUGAAGGAAUGCAGUCCUUUUUUGUUCCACAGAACCUCAGAAUUUAUAGUCCCUUCCCAAUAUUUUAGAAAGAUUUUGUUUUAUUGUUCUUUAAAAUUACGUUUGGCCUGACUGGUUCUGUGGAAGAAAUGCAGGAAACUGGACCUUAGGGAUUUUGGCUGUAUUUCACUCUUUACUGGAGGGCCUUCUUGUCAGGGUUCCUUGUAACACACUCCCAUAACAAACAAAUUGUGCUCAAAAUGCUCUUAGAAUAGGGAGAAAUUUUGCAGAGAGAGACCUCUAAAUGAAUUUAUAUUAUACAGUGUCAUAAAGUAGAGCUUCUGACACCAUCCGUAAAUUAUUGCUGACUUUAUCCAUGCUUUUGCUUUUAUCAUAGGCAAAAGGUUCAGCUACACUCUAUUCUCUUUUUAUUCAUUUAUGGAGCAAUACUGAACCAAACUUGGUGCCCUUUUCAGCCUCUGUCCCUGUGAGAACAGUGUGUUGCUUCCCUUCACAGUUUCGUCACCCAUUUGUACAUAUUUCCCUGCUAUAUUAGUUUCCUGUAGUUGCUGUAACAAAUUACUAUGGACUUGGUAACAACACAGAUACAUAUUUUCUCACAGUUCUGGAGGCAGUAAGUUCAAAAUCAGUAUCACUAGGCUGAAAUCAAGGUAUCUUUGUGCUCUCUGGAUCAAGGAUCUAAGGCAGAACGUGUUCCUUGCUCUUCCAAUUUCCACUCAUCUAAACCACUCUUGAAUUCCUAACCCAUAGAAACUGUUAGAUCAUAAAUGUGUGUUGUUUUAAACUGUUUAGGGGAGUAAUUUGUUAAUAUAGAAAUAGGUAAUAUAGGAGGUAAGGAAAAAUUGACAAUGAGGACUUGGUGAAUCGUGGUAUCAUUUGUCAAGAGUUGACAGAUAAGAGGAAGGGAGUAGGUUUGUCAGGGAAAGGGUUAAUUUUUUUUUUUUGGAGACUUGUUGCCCAGGCUGGAGUACAAUGGCAUGAUCUUGGCUCACCACAACUUCCGCCUCCUGGGUUCAAGUGAUUUUGCUGCCUCAGCCUCCCGAGUAGCUGGGAUUACAGGCAUGUGCCACCACACCCAGCUAAUUUUGUAUUUUUAGUAGAGAUGGGAUUUCUCCAUAUUGGUCAGGCUGGUCUCGAACUCCUGACCUCAGGUGAUCCACCCGCCUCGGCCUCCCAAAGUGCUGGGAUUAUAGGCAUGAACCGCUGCGCUCAGCCCGAAAGGGUUAAUUUUGAAAAGGCUGGGUUCAAGAUGCUGAUAGGGAUAUUAAGGUACAACUGUGUAGUGGGAAGUUAAACAUGUUCAGAAGAGUGUUUGUAAUAUGAUUUAUUUUAUGUUUUAAUUUUUUUUUGAGAUAGGGCCUCACCUUGUCUCCCAGGCUGAAGUGCAGUGGAUGAUCAGGGUUCACUGCAGUCCCUACCUCCUGGGCUCAAGUGAUCAUCCCACCUCAGCCCCAUGAAUAGCUGGGACUAUAGGUGUUUGCCACCAUGGCCAGCUAAUUUUUUGUAUUUUUGGUGGAGAUGGGGUUUCACCAUGUUGCCUUGGCAGGUCUUGAACUGGACUCAAGCGAGCAGCCCACCUCAGCCUUCCAAAGUGCUGGGAUCACAAGCGUGAGCCACCAUGUCCAGCCAAGGAUAUAUUUUAGUAGUAAUGAACUUAUGGUGACAGAAUAUGUGGGAUAACGUCACCUACUGUCACAAGCUGGCUUCUCUGGAAACAGUUACUGAGACUGACUUUGGGGUUCAAGAUAUUUGUUACAGAUCAAGUCUUGUGAAGGGAAGGGGGAGAAAACAGUGUUAGGCAGAGGAAGAAGUUGCAUAUGUUAUAGGCCCAACUAAACCUCAGUCAGGCCGUGUGUGGUGGCUUAUGCCUGUAAUGCCAGCACUUUGGGAGGCCAAGGUGGGAGGAUUGCUUGAGCACAGGAGUUUGAGGCUGAAGUGAGCUAUGAUCGCACCACUGCAAUCAAUCAAUCAAUAAACUUCAGUCAACCCUGCCAGGAGCUAUGGAACAAUUAUUGUUUGUUGGAGUGUUCUGUGUUGGGCUAAAUGUGAAGCCUCUUUAUACUUCUACCUUACUCAGUCACCAUAUGGGGGCUGCCCCAGAGAGGUCAUGACCUCAAGUGAGGAAGUACUCAGCAGCUGAGCCAGGCCCUACUGAUAGCUGGAGGAUGCUGCUGCCCAUGCUGCCCACUGUGAGGCAGCAAGCCCUUGCUUGAAGGGGGAUCUGGAUAGUAUGUUUCUGUGUCUACCACCCCUAGAAAUGGUGCCUAGAGUGAGUCAUCACAAAAAGAAUCAGGAUAGCUUGGUGUAGUGGCAGGUGCCUAUAAUCCCAGCUACUCAGGAGACUGUGGCAGGAGAAUGACUUAAACCAGGGAGUUGGAGGUUGCAGUGAGGUGAGGUCACACAACUGCACUCCAGACUGGGUGACAGAGUGAGACUCCAUCUCAAAAAAAAAAAAAAAAGAAAAGAAAAGAAAAAAGAAAAAGAAUCAGGAAAUACUAAUAUUUAAAGGAUAGGUGAAUGGAGGAAAAUAAUCAAUUGAAGGAGGCUGAGCAGAUGAGGUCAAAGAAGAUAGAGAUCCAUAACAGUAACCUCAUAGAAGCUUAUGGAAGCAUUUUGACAGUGCUAAAAGCCACAUAAAGUUCAAGUAAGACAGUUUCAGAAAUGUAUAAACAUGAAUGCCUUUGCAGUGACUUAAGUGUGAUUCUGUUGUUUCCUUCUAAAAAUACUGCCUUCUCAGGUGUGGGAAGGAUUCUAUCUUUUUAGGCUUUACCACCAUAGUUCUCUGCAGGCUUGCAAUCCUGAAUCAGGCUUGACUUCAGAAAGUGCUUUAAAAGGGAGGCUGGGCGCGGUGGCUCAUGCCUGUAAUCCCAGCACUCUGAGAGGCUGAGGUUGUGGGGAAAAGCAAGAGAGAUCAGAUUGUUACUGUGUCUGUGUAGAAAGAAGUAGACAUAGGAGACUCCAUUUUGUUCUGUACUAAGAAAAAUUCUUCUGCCUUGAGAUUCUGUUAAUCUAUGACCUUACCCCCAACCCCGUGCUCUCUGAAACAGGUGCUGUGUCAAACUCAGGGUUAAAUGGAUUAAGGGUUGUGCAAGAUGUGCUUUGUUAAACAAAUGCUUGAAGGCAGCAUGGUCCUUAAGAGUCAUCACCACUCCCUAAUCUCAAGUACCCAGGGACACAAACACUGCGGAAGGCCGCAGAGACCUCUGCCUAGGAAAGCAAGGUAUUGUCCAAGGUUUCUCCCCAUGUGAUAGUCUGAAAUAUGGCCUCGUGGGAAGGGAAAGACCUGACCGUCCCCCAGCCUGACACCCGUAAAGGGUCUGUGCUGAGGAGGAUUAGUGUAAGAGGAAGGCAUGCCUCUUGCAGUUGAGACAAGAGGAAGGCAUCUGUCUCCUGCCCGUCCCUGGGCAAUGGAAUGUCUCGGUAUAAAACCCGAUUGAUUGUACGUUCCAUCUACUGAGAUAGGAAGAAAACGCCUUAGGGCUGGAGGUGUGGGACAAGCCGGCAGCAAUACUGCUUUGUAAAGCAUUGAGAUGUUUA
rnacentral:lncRNA from 1 species